UUUGGGCGUGUCUCCCUUCUCGGGAGACUCUCUCAACCCCCACGAACCCUUGACCUCAAAUCGGGUGAGACUACCCGCUGAACUUAAGCAUAUCAAUAAGCGGAGGAAAAGAAACUAACAAGGAUUCCCCUAGUAACUGCGAGUGAAGCGGGAAAAGCUCAAAUUUAAAAUCUGGCGGUCUCUGGC
rnacentral:rRNA from 1 species